UGAACUUCAUCCAGUUUACCUCAGACCAUUUCUCCAAUUUGUCCAGAUCAUUUUGAAUUUUGACCCUGUCCUCCAAAGCAGUUGCAAUCCCUCCCAGUUUGGUAUCGUCUGCAAACUUAAUAAGCGUACUUUCUAUGCCAACAUCUAAGUCGUUGAUGAAGAUAUUGAACAGAACUGGUCCCAAAACAGACCCCUGCGGAAUGGGAGUGGGUAAACUUACUGAUCCUCCGAGUUCCAUACACUAAUCUUCAGAAGUUCAAGAGCUGCAAGACACACAACCUGUCCCACAGGGCAGCACCUACUGGAGUGUGGGGGUUCUGCCCUGAUGCCCCCCCCGCAGGACAGAAGCUGCUAGUCCCCCCACCCUGCUGCAGGACAGAAGCCCCGAGCUCUCCAUCCCAGUCUGGAAGAUAUGAAGCAUUUAAGAAAUCCUGCUUAUUCCUGACUUGUAAUACAUACAUUUGGAUCCUGCUUACAUGCUCAUCUACCCAAAAAAUUCUGACUUUCAGUCUGCCCCUUCUCAAUUACUUCACAACCCAGUCUUUUCUAGUUCAGUGGUUCUCCAGGCCUCCUGUUCUGCAGGCCACUAUGUAAGUGGGAGAUCACCGCAUUAUAGAAAUUAGACAUAGAAAAGAACUAUUAUGUUACCUAGUCCCUCCCCUGCCAGUGCAGGUGGUUCCCUACAGUAUAUUUCUAGUGCUAUGACCAGUCUAACAUUAAAAAAAAGCUCACAAAAUCCUUUCCCUCCCAACAUUUUCUAUCUAUUCUGAUGGACUCUGUCACCACAGUUUGAUAAGCUUCUAGAAUGUUCUAGAAAUUUUCAUGUUACUUUAAUUAAACUGAAAUAAUUUUUCAGAUCAGUACAAAUAAGAAAAAGAGAAGCCAACCUUCCGUGUAUUCUUUGGUUCCAUCCAGAGGAUCAACCCACACAACAAGCUUAAAAAAAGAAAAUGCACACAACACAAGAGGAAUCACAAAUCACGGAAAUUAAACUAUUAUAUAAAAGAGUACUAGUUAGCAGCAGUGAGAGGAGGAUAAACCUCACCAUUGUUAAGAAAUCUUACACUUAAAAUGCAAACAAAUUACAUUAGUGUUCGUAAAUGCUUAUUACAUAUAGGACUGAACAGCUCCAGGGAUUUGUAAAGAGAUAUUAGACUUUUCACCAGCUAUUCAGCUGGCUAUGUAAUGUGGAUUUGGUGAGCUCAGUCCAUUUUUUAUGGAAAGACGUCUACAUUUAAAACCUAAUAUCAACUCACCACCACUUGCACUAAUUAACAACGUUGCUUGCAAUCUCAGUAGAGAUGUCAAAGAUUAAUAAGAGUUCUGUAAACUUGUCUCUCUCACCAACUGAAGUUGUCCAAUAAAAGAAAUUACCUUGCCUACCUUGUGUCUCUAAUGUUCUGGGACCAACAUGACUACAACAACACUGCAUACAAGGAUUCAAUGGGCAUGGAAACUAAACUAUCCUCUCACUCCUAAAGGUGGUCCCUUUAGUAUAGCUCUGAUACACAUUCAUGGAACAUUACAGAGAAACCUGCUGCCCAUGCUACACCCAUUCUGUGGAUAAUUAGAGGGCUUCCAUUUUUAGUGCUGUCACUUUGAAAAUACUUCCUUUUUAAAUUGAAUGUGGCACUUAAACCAAAAGAUAAGCUGACAACAUCAAAAUUACACCUCUAACUCGAUAUAACGCUGUCCUUGGGAGCCAAAAAAAAUCUUACCAUGUUGUAGGUGAAACCGUGUUAUAUUGAACUUGCUUUGAUCAACUGGAGUGUGAUCACACACCUUCCCCCCAGCACUGCUUUACCGUGUUAUAUCCAAAUUUGUGUUAUAUCGGGUAGCGUUAUAUCGAGGUAGCGGUGUAUCUGUUUUAUUUCUUGGAUCUUUCUUAGAUAAGACUAAUAAGCUAUAUGGGGAUAUAAGAAAGUAAAUGUAAC